rnacentral:tRNA from 2 species
GGGCGGUUGGCCGAGCGGUUUAGGCAGCGAACUCAUAAUUCGCCUUAGGCGGGUUCAACUCCUGCACCGCCCACUA